GGUAGCGUGUCCGAGCGGCCGAAGGAGCGCGCCUCGAAAGCGCGUGAGGGGCAACCCCCCUCCGUGGGUUCAAAUCCCACCGCUACCG
rnacentral:tRNA from 1 species